CGCCAGGGGCUCGGGGCUGGCCCGCGGGGAGGACUCGGUGGAGGAGAGCAGAGAGUCCGAGGACGAGGAGAAGGCGGUGGAGUCAGGCAGACUGCAGAGGAGCCCAGGGAAGAGGAAUUGCUGGGGGAAAAAAUGGUUCAGAGGUGUUUAUUCAACCGCAUAGGAGAUGGUGAAGAUUAACCCAUCACUACUUAUUGGCAGUCAACAUCACCCUAUGGAGAACCGGUGCUAUUUAUGGGAAACGUGAAAUAAUUCACAAGUACCUCUACGAAAAAAAUUUCCAACAAAACUCUAAAGCAGCAAAACAAGUUGUAGCCCACACAACUUUUAACCACCCUUUAAAUUAAUCACCAAGUUUGCAGCAAGACACUGGAUUUAGUGGGGAAGGGGAGACGGUGGAAGGUAGAGGAUAUUUGGCUUUAUUAUUUUUUUUAAUUAAAAAUUGGGCUGAUGAAUAAUAAACACGUUUUGAUAGUGAAGAGGGGUGUUUGAGAUCCCAUUGAAAACAUGUGAACGCUCAGGACCAUUUUAUAAAACAUUUCAAUACUAAAAAGACUGCAACAGAAGUCAAAGUAAAUGUGAAGGAAAUUUGU